GUCUAUGUGAAGAUGUACAUAGUUUGACCUGCUCACUGAGGAGUUAAAGAGCCGCAGUAUUUUGACUGUGCGAAGGUAGCAUAAUAGAUUGUCUUUUAAUUGAAGGCUGGAAUGAAUGGUCGGACAAAGAAUCAUCUGUUUCUUAAGUAAAUUUUGAAUUUGACUUUUAAGUGAAAAGGCUUAAAUAUUGCAGAAAGACGAUAAGACCCUAUAAAUCUUUACAAAAAGGAAGCUUUAUCUUAGAUUAGUUGUUUAUCAAGGUAAUAAGAUUUUUUUUGUUGCGCUGGGGCGGCGUAAAUAUAAUGAGUAACUGUUUUAAUAUUUAAUCAAUUAUUGUUGAUUUAAAUUAUUUGAUCCUUUGUUAGAUUAAAAGAUUAAGAUACUUUAGGGAUAACAGCGUUAUUUUUUCUGAGAGUUCUUAUCGAAGAAAAAGUUUGCGACCUCGAUGUUGAAUUAAAGUUUCUUUAUGGUGUAGCAGCUAUAAAAUGAGAGUCUGUUCGACUUUUAAUUCUUUACAUGAUUUGAGUUCAGACCGGCGUGAG
rnacentral:rRNA from 1 species